rnacentral:rRNA from 1 species
UACGGGGGGGGGCAAGCGUUGUUCGGAAUUACUGGGCGUAAAGGGCUCGUAGGCGGCCAACUAAGUCAGACGUGAAAUCCCUCAGCUUAACUGGGGAACUGCGUCUGAUACUGGAUGGCUUGGAUUCGGGAGAGGGAUGCGGAAUUCCAGGUGUAGCGGUGAAAUGCGUAGAUAUCUGGAGGAACACCGGUGGCGAAGGCGGCAUCCUGGACCGAUAUUGACGCUGAGGAGCGAAAGCUAGGGGAGCAAACGGG